GUCGACCCCCGCGUGGCGUCAUCUCGCUGAAUCCCCCAGGGCCGGAAGGCAGCAAGGGCAGGUGAGCUCUGAUGGGUGCGCGUGGGGUCUUUUUU
rfam:Jonesia denitrificans DSM 20603, complete genome.